rnacentral:rRNA from 1 species
CUACGGGGAGGCAGCAGUGGUGGAUAUGCACAAUGGGCGCAAGCAUGAUGCAGCCAUGCCGCGUGUGUGAAGAAGACCUUCGGUUGUAAAGCACUUCAGUCGUGAGGAAGGUAGUGUAGUAAUAGCUGCAUUAUUGACGUUAGCGACAGAAGAAGCACUCGUCUAACUCCGUGCCAGCAGCCGCGGUAAUACGGAGGGUGCGAGCGAUAAUCGGAAUUACUGGGCGUAAAGCGCAUGCAGGUGGUUUGUUAAGUCAGAUGUGAAAGCCCGGGGCUCAACCUCGGAAUUGCAUUUGAAACUGGCAGACUAGAGUACUGUAGAGGGGGGUAGAAUUUCAGGUGUAGCGGUGAAAUGCGUAGAGAUCUGAAGGAAUACCGGUGGCGAAGGCGGCCCCCUGGACAGAUACUGACACUCAGAUGCGAAAGCGUGGGGAGCAAACAGGAUUAGAUACCCUGGUAGUCCACGCCGUAAACGAUGUCUACUUGGAGGUUGUGGCCUUGAGCCGUGGCUUUCGGAGCUAACGCGUUAAGUAGACCGCCUGGGGAGUACGGUCGCAAGAUUAAAACUCAAAUGAAUUGACGGGGGCCCGCACAAGCGGUGGAGCAUGUGGUUUAAUUCGAUGCAACGCGAAGAACCUUACCUACUCUUGACAUCCAGAGAACUUUCCAGAGAUGGAUUGGUGCCUUCGGGAACUCUGAGACAGGUGCUGCAUGGCUGUCGUCAGCUCGUGUUGUGAAAUGUUGGGUUAAGUCCCGCAACGAGCGCAACCCUUAUCCUUGUUUGCCAGCGAGUAAUGUCGGGAACUCCAGGGAGACUGCCGGUGAUAAACCGGAGGAAGGUGGGGACGACGUCAAGUCAUCAUGGCCCUUACGAGUAGGGCUACACACGUGCUACAAUGGCGCAUACAGAGGGCGGCCAACUUGCGAAAGUGAGCGAAUCCCAAAAAGUGCGUCGUAGUCCGGAUUGGAGUCUGCAACUCGACUCCAUGAAGUCGGAAUCGCUAGUAAUCGUGGAUCAGAAUGCCACGGUGAAUACGUUCCCGGGCCUUGUACACACCGCCCGUCACACCAUGGGAGUGGGCUGCAAAAGAAGUAGGUAGUUUAACCUUCGGGGGGACGCUACCACUUGGGUUCUG